GACGAACGCUGGCGGCGUGCUUAACACAUGCAAGUCGAACGGAAAGGCCCUGCUUGCAGGGUACUCGAGUGGCGAACGGGUGAGUAACACGUGGGUGAUCUGCCCUGCACUUCGGGAUAAGCUUGGGAAACUGGGUCUAAUACCGGAUAGGAGCCAUCUUUAGUGUGGUGGUUGGAAAGUUUUUUCGGUGUAGGAUGAGCUCGCGGCCUAUCAGCUUGUUGGUGGGGUAAUGGCCUACCAAGGCGGCGACGGGUAGCCGGCCUGAGAGGGUGUACGGCCACAUUGGGAAUGAGAUACGGCCCAGACACCUACGGGAGGCAGCAGUGGGGAAUAUUGCACAAUGGGCGCAAGCCUGAUGCAGCGACGCCGCGUGGGGGAUGAAGGCCUUCGGGUUGUAAACUCCUUUCGCUAGGGACGAAGCUUUGUUGUGACGGUACCUAGAUAAGAAGCACCGGCUAACUACGUG
rnacentral:rRNA from 1 species